GUGCUCGCUUCGGCAACACAUAGACUAAAAUUAGAAUGACACAGAGAAGAGUAACAUGACCCCUGCACACGAUGAAUAGAAAGAUGAUGAACUGUUGACUAUAAAC
ensembl:snRNA U6 U6 spliceosomal RNA